CGAGCAGGUUCGACGCGCGCUUGAGCGCCGCCACGCGCUGCGCGUCGGGCACGGGCGCGGCGGCCGGCUGCGUGAGCGCCGGCAGCAGCCCGCGCGCGGCGGCCGCGAUCGUCGCGAGCUUUUGCGGCUGCGCGUCGGGAAUGAAGGUCGACAGCGUCGUCGUGCGGCCGACUUCGGGCAGCGCGCCGAGGCGCUGCGCGGCGGCGUUCGCGGCCGCGAGCGACGGCGCGAGCAGCGACACGUCGUUGACCGACGCCUCCGGCGAAUCCUUCAGCGCGAGCAGCGUCGCCAUCGAUUCGCUGCGCGGAUCCUUCAGAUGCAGCGGAUUGAAAUCGAAACGCAGAUGCGCGAGGAGCGGCAGCGCGCCGAUCACGACGGCGAGCGUGCCGAUCAGGAUCGGCUUGCGAUGAUGGUCGAGAUAGUCGUCGACCGGCGCGAGGCGGGGAAAGCCGGGCGGCUUGCGCUCGCCGGGCGGUGCGAGCAGCUUGAGCAGCGCGGGCAGCAGCGUGAGCGUCGUGAAGAGCGCGACGAACAUCCCGACGCCCGCGAUCAGGCCGAGCUCCGAUACGCCGCGGUACGCGGUCGGCAGAAACGAGAAGAAGCUCGCGGCGACGGCCGCCGUCGCGAGCGUGAGCGGCAUGCCCAUCGCGUGCGCGGCGCCGACGAGCGCGUGGUCGAGAUUCGGAUCGCGGUGCCGCUCCUCGCGAUACUUGACGCCGUACUGGAUCGCGAAAUCGACACCGAGGCCGACGAACAGCACCAUGAACGCGACCGAGAUCAUGUUCAGCGAGCCGACCAUCAUCAGCCCGAGCGCGGCCGUGACGACCAGGCCGACGAACAGCGUGACGAACACGGACGCGAUCAUCCGCUUCGAGCGCAGCGCGAUCCACAGGAUCACGAGCACGAUCGCGAGCGUCGCGAUGCCGUUGACGAGCGCGCCGUCCUGGACCGACGCGAAUUCCUCGUCGGCGAGCGGCUGCUCGCCCGUGAGCCGCACGGCGGCGCCGAAGCGCUCGUCGAGCUUGAGCGCCUGCGCGGUCGCGCGGAUCGUGCGCGAAGCCUGCUCGCCCGCCUUCAGCGCGCCGUAGUUGACGACGGGCUGCACGGUGACGAACGCGCGCGCGGGCUCGCGGGCCGCGUCGGCAUCGACGAGCGCGCGCCACGAGAACGCGGCCGGCUUGCCGGCGAGCACGUCGUCGACGGUGGCCGCGCUGCGCGAGAGCAGCUUCGCCAUGCCCGAGAGCUUGACCUGCCCCGAUUGCAACGGCACGCCGAGCGUCGUCGACAGCGUCGUCGCGAGGCCCGCGAUGCUCGGGUCUUUCGCAAGCACGUUGAUGAGCGGCCGCGCGCUCGCGAGCUGCGCGGUCGUCGUCGCGACGUCCUGCUCGGGCAGGAACAGCAGCCCGUCGUGCUCGAAGAGCGGGCCGCCCGCGGGCUCCGACACCUGGCCGAUGCGGCCCGCCUCGGUCUCGCG
rnacentral:rRNA from 2 species